rnacentral:rRNA from 1 species
UACGGGGGGCAGCAGUGGGGAAUAUUGCACAAUGGGCGCAAGCCUGAUGCAGCCAUGCCGCGUGUGUGAAGAAGGCCUUCGGGUUGUAAAGCACUUUCAGUCGUGAGGAAGGUAGUGUAGUUAAUAGCAGCAUCAUUUGACGUUAGCGACAGAAGAAGCACCGGCUAACUCCGUGCCAGCAGCCGCGGUAAUACGGAGGGUGCGAGCGUUAAUCGGAAUUACUGGGCGUAAAGCGCAUGCAGGUGGUUUGUUAAGUCAGAUGUGAAAGCCCGGGGCUCAACCUCGGAAUAGCAUUUGAAACUGGCAAGCUAGAGUACUGUAGAGGGGGGUAGAAUUUCAGGUGUAGCGGUGAAAUG